UACGAAAGGGGGGCUAGCGUUGCUCGGAAUGACUGGGCGUAAAGGGCGCGUAGGCGGUUUGUACAGUCAGGUGUGAAAUUCCCCGGGCUCAACCUGGGGGGCUGCACUUGAUACGUAUGGACUGGGAGUGGGGAAGAGGGUCGUGGAAUUCCCAGUGUAGAGGUGAAAUUCGUAGAUAUGGGAAAGAACACCGGUGGCGAAGGCGGCGACCUGGUCCUUGACUGACGCGAGGCGGCGAAAGCGUGGGGAGCAACAGGAUUAUGAAACCCU
rnacentral:rRNA from 1 species